GACGAACGCUGGCGGCGUGCUUAACACAUGCAAGUCGAACGAAGAGCGAUGGAAGCUUGCUUCUAUCAAUCUUAGUGGCGAACGGGUGAGUAACGCGUAAUCAACCUGCCCUUCAGAGGGGGACAACAGUUGGAAACGACUGCUAAUACCGCAUACGAUCUAAUCUCGGCAUCGAGGAUGGAUGAAAGGUGGCCUCUAUUUAUAAGCUAUCACUGAAGGAGGGGAUUGCGUCUGAUUGGCUAGUUGGAGGGGUAACGGCCCACCAAGGCGAUGAUCAGUAGCCGGUCUGAGAGGAUGAACGGCCACAUUGGGACUGAGACACGGCCCAGACUCCUACGGGAGGCAGCAGUGGGGAAUCUUCCGCAAUGGACGAAAGUCUGACGGAGCAACGCCGCGUGAGUGAUGACGGCCUUCGGGUUGUAAAGCUCUGUUAAUCGGGACGAAAGGCCUUCUUGCGAAUAGUUAGAAGGAUUGACGGUACCGGAAUAGAAAGCCCGGU
rnacentral:rRNA from 1 species